rnacentral:rRNA from 1 species
ACGAACGCUGGCGGCGUGCUUAACACAUGCAAGUCGAACGGAAAGGCCCUGCUUUUGUGGGGUGCUCGAGUGGCGAACGGGUGAGUAACACGUGAGUAACCUGCCCUUGACUUUGGGAUAACUUCAGGAAACUGGGGCUAAUACCGGAUAGGAGCUCCUGCUGCAUGGUGGGGGUUGGAAAGUUUCGGCGGUUGGGGAUGGACUCGCGGCUUAUCAGCUUGUUGGUGGGGUAGUGGCUUGCCAAGGCUUUGACGGGUAGCCGGCCUGAGAGGGUGACCGGCCACAUUGGGACUGAGAUACGGCCCAGAGUCCUACGGGAGGCAGCAGUGGGGAAUAUUGCACAAUGGGCGGAAGCCUGAUGCAGCAACGCCGCGUGCGGGAUGACGGCCUUCGGGUUGUAAACCGCUUUCGCCUGUGACGAAGCGUGAGUGACGGUAAUGGGUAAAGAAGCACCGGCUAACUACGU